rnacentral:lncRNA from 1 species
GGGUUGUUGCGGGAUCUCACAGGCUUUAAACCGCGGCGCCGCGGCGCCCGGGUGUGGAUCCCUAGAUGGGAGCCGGGGAUGGGCCGGGUGCCUGGUGGGUGGCAGUCGGGGCUGACGGCGGCGGCACUUUGCCGCCUCAGGCCCUGGACACCUUCACCCCGCCGCCUGCCCAGGCGGGCCGGCCCUGCCCGUCCACCGGCCGCCGAGAGUCCCCGGCCUUGGGUCCCCGGGGCCGCUGACUGGCCUCGGUCACCUCCCGGGGAAGGCUCCCGCGCCUCCAUCUGCCCCCGCAGGAAGGGACCCUCUUCUCGCCCGCGAGGCUUCUCCGGGUGGGAUCGUCCUGGCCCCCAGCCCUAAGGGAUCCGCCCCCUCCGAGCAUCCGCCGCCCCUCGGAGACCACUCCAGCUCGGACGGACCCACUCCAGCCCCCGCUGCACGCGGAAGCGCUCAUCCUCCCCGCCUGCCCCGUUCCCUCCCCCUUCUCCUGUGGGACAACCAGGGACCGCAGCUCCCCGCUCCCCAGGUGUGGGGGCUCCGACACGAACGCCUCUGCUCGCAGGGCGGUGAGCGCAGAUCCCACGGGUCCCUCGGUCGGGGGUCGAGGCUGCUUCCGUUUCCAUCCCGGACCCGACAAUGGGCGGGAAAAAGAAGGCUUUACACGACUACGCGGCGGAGUUCACCGACCUGGUGGUGAAGCACCUGAUUGAGCACAGUGACUCUGGGGACACGUCUGUGGUGGAGACCCUUUACUGCAGGGCCUGCGAGCUGCCCGUGCGCGUGCGGAGGGACCGCAUCCUGGAACACCUGUCCUCGGGCAGGCAGCACGGCCUGCGGACGCCCAUUCUCAUGUAAAUGUCAGUGCCAACGCUGGUGUUUCAGGAGUCAUCCCAGCGGGCUGCGGGCUAUUUUAGGAUUCUCUGCCCUGCAAACGUUUCCAAAGUACGUGGACAGGCCGCCUGAUGACACUACGUUUACGGGAUCUGCUAGUGGCUUGCCUACUUAGGGAGUAAACCCUGUGAAGUCUCGCAGUUUUGUUAAAGUGUGCGUGGCCACCUGAAUGCUGCCUUAUCACAAGCCAGAUACAUACUGCCGCCUCGGAUCUCGCUGCCACCAGCCUUACUGCACACCCGUGCCACCCGCCCUUGCCCCGUCAGCCUCAGCCUCAGCUCAUUCUCUCAGGCAGUCCCAGCAUUGGCACGGUACCUCCUCCCGCUGUGGGCCACACGUCUCUGCUCCCUGUCAACCCUCCUGCCAUCAGCACCACCACCAGCGACUUGUCUGCCCGGGAGGAUGCAACACCAUCUGCCUCCACCGGCCACCUUUCAGUGUUUCCUGCUUUCCAAGUAAAGAUACCAGCAGUGCCCUCAGAGCAGACCAGCCAGAGUUUUUCUGAAGCCUCCCACAGGGUGCUCCCCGGAGGAGGCCCGAGAUGCUCUCGUGACUUUGGAGCCGGGGUGGCUGGCCACCUUGGCCUGGGCAUCUUUGGGGUGGGCUUCGGGAGCCCGGCACUGCUGCAGAGUGUGGUGGAUGAGAACAGCUGCUGCUUGCUGUACGUGGUGGAGGACCAGCUGUGUGAUGUGGAGCAAGCCUUCAGAGCUGAGCAUUUGGGCCAACACCAGAGUGGUUCGGGAACAGGAUGCAGACAUUGUCCUCAACGACCAGCGGCACUUUGAUCCGGUUUUCCAGUUCUUGCACAAGCAAGUUUGUGUCAGCCACGCCCUGGGGAGGAUCCACUGGAUCACCGCCGUCACUGCCUGUUCCCGGCGGCCUCUCCGGCUUCCCUAAAGAGAGCAGGUGGGACUUUCUACAACGCUGCUGUGCACGACGUGGAUGCCGUAUGCAUGUUGCUGGGGGAAGCCACUCCGGACACUGUGUUUUCUCUGGGACAUGUCUUCUGCCCAGAUAUGGCCGCCUUAAAAGAUGCAGAUGCUGUUGUGAUCAGCAUGAAGUUUCCCUGUGAGGCCGUGGUUAGCGUGGACAUCAGCCAGCACUGCACAGACAGCUGCGACCAGGACGUCAGCCAGCACUGCACAGACAGCUGCGACCAGAGACUGGAGAUGGAGUCUUGCCCUGUCACCCAGGCUGGAGUGCAAUGGUGCGAUCUCGGCUCACUGCAACCUCCGUCUCCCAGGUUCAAGCGAUUCUUCUGCCUCAGCCUUCUGAGUAGCUGGGAUUACACGCGUGUGCCACCACGCUCGGCUAAUUUUUGUAUUUUUAGUAGAGAUGGGAUUUCACCAUGUUGGCCAGGCUGGUCUCGAACUACUGACCUCGUGAUCCACCUGCCAUGGCCUCCCAAAGUGCUGGGAUUACAGGCGUGAGCCACCAUGCUCGGCCUAAAAAACAAUUUUCUUGAAGAAUCCGAUUUUGUGCAUAGUAAUGACACAGCACCAUUCCUGAGAAAUAGGAAAUAUAUGUGUGUGGUAUGAAAAGCCCAUAUUCUGUUCUUGUCACCUGAAUCUAGGCUUCCUCUUUGGAUGUGAACGCGGGAAUGAACAGUGGCUGUUUUCCACCCAAAGGGGCGUGGAGACCUUUUGGAAACGGGCUUUCUCCUUUCCAUUUUGCAGCCGGGGGCGGGUGGAAACCUUCCUUCGAAGGGUAGUGCCUUGGGGAGCAGCAGACCUGCUCUGAGUCCAGCUUAGCUUUCCAAAAUUCUGUGUGGAACUUACUGGAGAUGUUUUUAUAUAUUUGAAAAUAAUGGCCUGUAUUUCUCACGCUAUACUUAAAAAAAAUAACUAACCUUUUAAACAAAGAUAUUCAAACUCACCCUUGUGCUGAAAGCACUCACAUUUCUGUGUUCAUUCCUGAAAGGGCGUUUUAGAGUCCCCGUUUCUACGUUCUAUGUGGCACCCUCUUGCCGAGGGAACAUCCAGAAUCCCUCCACUUCCUGUCUAGUUUGAGGCCUCAACACCUUCAUGAUCCAGAGUCCUGCGGCUAUGAGGGGGUGGGCCCACCACCGCCCAGCCCUCCUUGGUGGACGUGGGGACAGGUAGGAGCCUAGGGAAAGGGGUGGGCGGGCUCUGGUGUGACGGCGUGAGCGCUAGCCAGGAAGAUGGGGCCAGGGCUUGGCAUGGCACCUCACCUGUGGGGGAACUCGGCGGAGCUUCCUGGCGGCAUCUCCCCCUCUUGCCUUGGUCCUUUCUAUCUUUGUUUUAGGCCAAUUUCUAAAAAGACUGAGGCCUCCUUCAAGGUUGAACAGAUUUCUAGAGCCUUGUUUUUGCUGUGACAAGUCCCUAGUCCCUGUUCACAACUCUGAAACCAAGAAACCUGAGAACCAAGAGAACUGAAAUGAAGCCCGUUGGUCUCAGCCUGGCUUGAGCCAACAUGAGGCUCUCUGCUGCCUUUUGUUUUCUUAGGUUUUGCUGAGAAACGGGAGUGCGUUCUGUGUCGGUGUUUGUGACGCCCUGAGACCCUGCUUGGCCUAGCUAAAGUCCAGAAGGCCUGGGCCCCACAGGGCUUGGAUGAGGGCUCAUGGGCCUGUACUUCAGGAGGCCUGAGAGGCCCGGUCAGUCCCAUGAGGCUACUCGGCUUGGCCCGCAGGUCCUCCGAGGCACAGGGCAGAGGGACACCCCAGGGACCCAUCAGACUCACGACACAGAGAAACUCAAGUGGGGUGCCAGGGCCGGCCACAGAGGCCACGGGCUUCCUGCCUGUGAGGAGCCGCCCUGUUUGUCUGAGCCCUUUGGAGAUUUAGGUUGAGUCAUGAGAACCGGUCAUUGGAACAUACACUUUAUUAUGUUACAAAAACAAAAAUCCCCACUGAAACACAGCUAAAAAAAUAACACAUUUUCCCAAGAUUACAUUACCAAAAACAGUUGUUAUGUCAUUGGAGGGCGUCCAUUAAUACUGCUCGGAGAAGCACGAUCUUACACGAAAAACACGGAUGGGAUUUCGUUUUCACCUUAAAGCAUUAAAGUGCUUUAACUGGUAA